rnacentral:rRNA from 1 species
UUUGUUUGCGCAGGAUAGGUGGGAGGCAUUGAAAAUUUUCUUGCGGGAAGAUUGGAGCCGUUGGUGAGAUACCACUCUAACAAUGCUAGGAUUCUAACCCUACACCGUUAUCCGGUUAGGGGACAGUUUCAGGUGGUCAGUUUGACUGGGGCGGUCGCCUCCCAAAAGGUAACGGAGGCGUGCAAAGGUUUCCUCAGACUGGUCGGAAAUCAGUCGUAGAGUGUAAAGGCAUAAGGAAGCUUGAUUGUGAGACUUACAAGUCGGACAAAGACGAAAGUCGGCCUUAGUGACCCGACGGUUCCGAGUGGAAGGGCCGUCGCUCAACGGAUAAAAGUUACUCUAGGGAUAACAGGCUGAA